rnacentral:rRNA from 1 species
GAUGAACGCUGGCGGCGUGCCUAAUACAUGCAAGUCGAGCGAACAGACGAGGAGCUUGCUCCUCUGACGUUAGCGGCGGACGGGUGAGUAACACGUGGAUAACCUACCUAUAAGACUGGGAUAACUUCGGGAAACCGGAGCUAAUACCGGAUAAUAUAUUGAACCGCAUGGUUCAAUAGUGAAAGACGGUUUUGCUGUCACUUAUAGAUGGAUCCGCGCCGCAUUAGCUAGUUGGUAAGGUAACGGCUUACCAAGGCAACGAUGCGUAGCCGACCUGAGAGGGUGAUCGGCCACACUGGAACUGAGAAACGGUCCAGACUCCUACGGGAGGCAGCAGUAGGGAAUCUUCCGCAAUGGGCGAAAGCCUGACGGAGCAACGCCGCGUGAGUGAUGAAGGUCUUCGGAUCGUAAAACUCUGUUAUUAGGGAAGAACAAAUGUGUAAGUAACUAUGCACGUCUUGACGGUACCUAAUCAGAAAGCCACGGCUAACUACGCG